UGAGCAGUGGGGGAAGGUGCCCUAGCGGGACGUGUGGUGCCAACAGGUUUUAAAGAGGGCAACAAGCUAUUAAUCCCAGUCAAGACUUCAUAGGUUCAGUUGCGGUUAUGAACCCAUUCCAGUGCCAAACACUGGGCUUAUUAUAGCAUUUCCAGGGUGGGGCACACUACUCCACUUGACCCAAAUACUCAACGACCCUAAAGUCAAAGUUAACCCACUCUGGAACAAUGAAAAUCAUGAAUGUAAAUAGGAGAAAUAAGUUGUUGUAAAUAAGGGAUAGGUGUUCUUCCUCUUCAUGGAGAUGGAGGUCAGCUGCUACAUGAUCUUUGACUUUUUCAUUCAAACUGUAAAAACUCAUAUGAACCUGACCUCUGGUCCUCUGGGACUGAGCCUCUUCUUCAUUUCAACCGUUGUUAACUUUUAACCAUCAUGGCCCUUCAAGAGCACGUCUAUCUAAGUAGGUAACAACGGGAACGUUCUUUGGCUUGACCUCUUCCUUUCACCACCAGCUAUUGCUAAAGUACAAAGGUUCUGACUUUGUAUAUGUUUGUUUGUCAGAUAUCACUAAUCUGAACUGCCAUUGGUAAUAGAACAGUGACUGUGUACAGAAUGAUUUCACAGAUGCAUCUAUGGAGCCACCACUUGGAGACUAGCAAGAUGUAGUGAUGGAGUCCUGACCGGCAGACAGGCUUGAUACUGACGUCUCUGAAUGGAGUGAGACCUGGCACUUAACACUUCCACAAUGUGGGACUGAAGAUGGAGAUGACUGGAUAGGCUUUUCCCAGACUCCAGCCUCUGUCGUUUAAUGGGGAGACCAUAAUUGGAAACAUGUAUGGAGCCAGCAGUUGGAGACAUGCAAGAUGAUGUGAUGAAGUCCAGACUGACAGAGGUGCUUGACACUGAUGUAUCUAAAUGGAGAGAGAUCUGGCACUUGGCAUACAUUUUUUACCAGACACUUGAAUUGAAUGGCAUCAGUCAAUAUGGGGAGGGAGAAACCCAGUGUACUGUUCAACAGGAUCAGGGAACUCCUGUUCAGGACACCACACAGGAAGGUAUGACCACUCUGACAUGUUUGCCAGUGUACACCAGUCCCAUUACCACCAGACAAAAUUCCAAUAGUAUCUGUAUUGGCUGGGAAUGACAAUGAAAGGUGAAAGCUGCAAAUUGUUAUAUUACAGAACACUGCUUCUAUGAUAUUAUGUAAAGGGUUAUUUAUUCUACAUGGACCUGUUACUAUAUUUGAAAGUUAUCAAAACACUUGUUAUAAGUUGUAUAUGUUAUAAAUUUAGCAAUUGCAUUAUUCUAAUGUUACUCUGUAGGCUACUAACCUAUUCAAAGCCUCCUCUGGCAUCUUACCAUACAUAUGCCUGUAGUUAUUGAACUCAACCUGCAGGAGGUUUGUUUGUUGUGAUGGAGUGGGGGGAAACAGCUGUGUGGGCAAGGUUCUGACAGAUGGGUGUGUCUUGGUGGAGGCAAGGACACACCCACAAAAGACCCACAUUAAAUCACACCCCCAAGCCAACUCACAUUUGGCCUGUGUGUUAAAAAGGUGGAUUUUGUUGCGUUCAUUGCCACAGUUAUAUAUACUGUACAGCACAAGUCUCAAAGAAGUCGAAGAAACUAGACAUUAUUGUGGCUGCAGGAGGAACGUUUUUGGGAAUCAAGGAUUUUACAUUGGAAGACUUGCAAGGGGUACUGGCGCCAGAAGACCAGGUUCCAGGUUCCCCUUGAGCCUGUGUAGGGAUCAGAUCUGUUUUAUUUAUUUUAACAGAAAAUUCAGUUUUUGUGGGGAAUCCUAUUUACAUCCCGCAUAGUAGAUGGUGGAAUGCACAUUAAAUUGUGAAUUCACCAAUACAUCAUAAAGGAAGAAGACCUAGUCAGUUGUUGUCAUGUCCUGACCAUAGAAAGCUUGUAUUUUCUAUGGUAGAGUAGGUCAGGGCGUGACUGGGGAAUU